rnacentral:rRNA from 1 species
UACGAAGGGGGCUAGCGUUGCUCGGAAUUACUGGGCGUAAAGCGCACGUAGGCGGUUCGUUAUGUCGGAUGUGAAAGCCCUUGGCUUAACCGAGGAAGUGCAUCCGAAACUGGCGAGCUAGAGUACUAAAGAGGAUCGCGGAAUUCCCGGUGUAGAGGUGAAAUCCGUAGAUAUCGGGAGGAACACCGGUGGCGAAGGCGGCGAUCUGGGUAGAUACUGACGCUGAGGUGCGAAAGCGUGGGGAGCAAACAGG